CCUACGGGAGGCAGCAGUGAGGAAUAUUGGUCAAUGGGCGGAAGCCUGAACCAGCCAAGCAGCGUGCAGGAUGACGGCCCUACGGGUUGUAAACUGCUUUUAUACGGGAAUAACGCGCCUUACGUGUAGGGCUUUGCAUGUACCGUAUGAAUAAGGACCGGCUAAUUCCGUGCCAGCAGCCGCGGUAAUACGGAAGGACCGGGCGUUAUCCGGAUUUAUUGGGUUUAAAGGGAGGGUAGGCGGCACGUCAAGCGGUCUGUGAAAUGUCGGGGCUCAACCCGGGCCUUGCAGCGCGAACGGGCGGGCUGGAGUGCGCGGAAAGCAGGCGGAAUUCGUGGUGUAGCGGUGAAAUGCUUAGAUAUGACGAAGAACCCCGAUUGCGAAGGCAGCUUGCUGGAGCGGAACUGACGCUGAUGCUCGGAAGCGCGGGUAUCGAACAGGAUUAGAUACCCUUGUAGUC
rnacentral:rRNA from 1 species